rnacentral:rRNA from 1 species
CCCUUAGAUGUCCUGGGCCGCACGCGCGCUACGCUGACAUGUUCAACAAGCCUCCUAGUUCGACAGGAUUUGGGAAAUCUUUGAACGCAUGUCGUGAUAGGGAUAGAUCAUUGCAAUUAUUGAUCUUGAACGAGGAAUUCCUAGUAAACGCGAGUCAUCAGCUCGCAUUGAUUACGUCCCUGCCCUUUGUACACACCGCCCGUCGCUCCUACCGAUUGAAUGCUCAGGUGAGCCAUUCGGACUUUCAUCAUGCUGGUUUCCAGUUUUGAUGAAGGAAAGUCUUGCGAACCUUAUCAUUUAGAGGAAGGAGAAGUCGUAACA